CUGACGACGCUUUCUCCUUUUAUUUCUAGAGAGGAUUUGUUGAGGCCCAUGCCGAUGAUGGUUUCUUAGAAAUUUUUGGUCUGAAACAAGGGUGGCAUGCUUCAAUGGUUAUGAGUGAGAUUAUCUCUGCCAAACACAUAGCACAGGCUUUGGCAAUUAGGUUUGAGCUGAGAGGAGGGUCAUGGAAGAAGGCAUAUAUGCAGAUGGAUGGUGAACCGUGGAAACAACCGUUGGACAAUGAGUUUUCGACCUUCGUUGAAAUUAAACGGGUACCAUUUCGAUCAGUUAUGGUCAAUGGACAGUAAUUACAACAGCAUUUUGUAGCAUCUUUAUCAAUUUGUGGAAAUUGGAUCAUUGUUGAACAAUCCUUUUCUUUAAUAUUGUAUGUGUAAUACCUUGUUUAGGAGGAAUUUUUAGUCAACUCCCAACUGUGGAGCUAAAUUUAUGGAGUCUUGAAGAAAG